AUACACAUUGCAAAACAAGCAAAUAACUUCGAAGUGAUUACACCAAUAUUGCUGUAGGACUAUCCCCCCAAGCCUUAUUAGCAGCUCCUUAAUUGGAGCUUGCUUGAACUAAUUAGUUCAAAGAAGCAGCCAGGGGCCAGAGCAGAUUGAAAAGGGGCCGCCUUUAAUUCAUUCCCUUAUGUGUGGCCCACCCUCACUUGUGCCUCUAAGAAAUGCUUGUACCAAAGAGCAGAGCCGGGCUCUUGUAACCAGCUCUGGUUGCAGCGUGGGGCUGGGUCCUCUUCUGCUCCUUUUUUCCUCCCUUUUUGUAGGGAGCCACUGGUGCUCUGUGGGCUGCUCCCCAGCACGGCCUGGGGCUGGCUCCCGAGGUGCUGGCAGAAACCAGGAGGCAGAGCCUGUCCCAAAGAGCCCCCAGCACGGCCACUUCUGAUACUAGCUGCUGUGGAUGCCCAAUUACCUUCCUGAAAGCACCCCUCCCACCAGGCAAACCCAGAGAUGAUGUAAGAAGGCAACCUGGCUGGUGCUUAUUUCAGCAACUCAUUUAAAUUCUGGUGUUUUGCAGCAAAGAGUCCUUGCUGCAGACCCUGCUGCUAACCCUGUGGAGGUGACCGCUCUGCUGCGCUGGGGUAAAGCAGAGCCAGGUGCCGGGAGGCUGUUCAGCUCUUCUUGUUCGGUGAGGAGAUCCGAGCUGCCAUGAGAGCAGUCCUUCGUGACGCUGUAGUACACCGGGGCGCUGUGUGGCGUGGGGUUCUCGGUGCUCUUCUGCUCGCACUCCCAGAGCUUCCUGAAGGCAGCCCUGAAUUUCUGGGACAUGAGGUUGUAGAUGAUGGGGUUGAUGGCGCUGUUCAGGUAGAUGCACGUCCGGCAGAAGAGCAGGAACCAGAUGUUCAGGUACGGUGGGUCCAUGAAGGAGUUUACCACCACCAGCGUGCGGUAAGGCAUCCACAGGAGGGCGAAGAGCACCACCACCACUGCCAGCAUUUUGGUCACCUUGUUAGAGGGGAUAGGCAAAAAGAGAAACAGACAGAUGGUGCUGAAGCUCCAGCAGAGCCUUCCCACCUCUAACUGCGCAGGUAAUUUAUAGCAUCGCACAUAUCUCUCUUUAAGGAUUUAAAAUAGGGUCACAAACCAUGGGACUGUCUAUUCCUCACUGAACCCAUUUUUGUUCAUGAAAUAAUAUUGCAUAAAUACAACCUUUAAAUGACAGAUUUUCACCUACCACUCGAUAGACUUUGAAAUGUCAGCACAAGCAUCCCUCAGCCUGGAAAUGAGUUGGAAAUAACCAUGGGAAUUUCUGUACCAGAAAACAGGUAUGAAAAUUGCUCAUAAUGUUAAAUCAGUGAGGAAAUUAACUUGUGUCAAAGUGGGAUCCUAAGUUUUUUAGGUACCAGGGGUGAAUCUCAACUCCCUGUCUGGGAUCUCCUGGUUUGCUAUGCCUGCUGUGCUCCCAGGGACAGGCUCCUGGUACAGAGAAGCACUGGGAGCAGACGAGACUGCCUGGCGUCCUACACAAAUUCCUGACUUGCCCUGAUAGGGGAGCUGCUCAGCUAAUCAGUACGGGUUAUUAUAAUUUGCAGCACACUAGGGAGGAACUACAUUAAUGUAUUAGGAACAAGAAGAUAUUGAGAAUGCAGGAGCGAGCAGUAAUUGCCCUCAGCUCAACUCAGGCUUGCUUAAGAAAAUGUGUUUUUGUACUGAAACUCCAACGAUCCUAAUAAUUUUGACAGCUACAUGUAUUUUGGGUAGGUGACAAUCAUCCUUCUGCAAGUGCUUACAGAAUACAUGUGUCCCCAAGGAGGAAAGUAUGAGUAAACACCGAUGCUGCCCACACAUUAAGGUGGCGGUGUUUCAAAUGUCAAAAAGGGGGUUGUGCACUGACUCCUCUUCUCUAUAAGGAAGCAAGCACUUGGAUCACACUCGGUCUUUCAGCUUUUCUUGGAUGUUUUUUUCUUUUUUAACUUAGUUACAAGCAGUGAUUCCUUCCUGUAAUGCUUUGUGUAGAAAGAAGGGGUGGUUGGCGGUGGCAACAAAACUUUUCCUACAAGAAAGGAUCCAUUGUCAAGCCGAGGCCAGAAUAGAAGUGUUUUGCUGUGUGUGGUUUAACGGGAAUGUGAGGACACUUCCCAGAAUCAGAUCUUGCCGUGAUGCUGUGAGUGCCUGGGCUGUUGCUAAGACUGCAGCGUGUUUGCUGUUGCCUUGGGGGAAGACAGAAGGGACUCUGAAGAGAAAAGCUUCAGAGCUUUCUAGUGCCUUUCACAAGGGUGGCUGGAUCCAUCCCACGGGCUUUUGGUUUCAUGCUGCUAGGAUGAGGCUGCUGGGUGACGAUGUGCUUGGUAGCAAUGGUCCCAAACACAGAGUCACUGUCUGCCCUGAGCCUGGCAGGGCAAUAAAGGCUUGACCUCCCCUCACCAGGGGAAGGAGCAUCCUCCUGCGGGCUAUGAGACCGCAUUGCUGUGGGACAGAGCUCCAGGUACCACAGGAGCCCAGGAAGGAAGGAUUUCUGCCUGAGGAGCCAUGCACAUGGAUGGGACCCAUGCUCUCUCUGUACCUCUCUUUCCAAAUAUCUUUACAGCAAAUAGACACAGCCACAAUGGAGCGAUCAGCUGCUCUGCUGCCUCCCUUGUACCACUUCUCAGGUUUGCAGAGAGAAAGGCUUUGGGUAUAUUUUUGAUUCAUCUGAGGUUAAUAUCCUGAGAACAUGAAUGAAUUUGAUUUAAACAAAAAUGUGAUAAAAGCUGAACCCUACAGCAAAAUGCGAACAGCUCAACUCAAGUGAUCCUAAGUACAGUUUCAUUCAGAAUUUAAUUCUCCCCUACUGAGCAGUUUAUUCAGGCUGCUCCUCCUGGGAGAUGAGGGCAGGCUGUGCUUCACCAUCACAUCCCAAAUGUGUCCAGGUCCUGCCUGGAAGGGGCCUUGCUAAAGGGGUGUCCCUGGGACAAGGCUGGAGGGAGCCUUUCCAUCAGCUUCAGUAGUCCUACUGCAGUGGGAUUUCUGCAAAAUGUGUCCUGGAAAACUUAAAUAGCACACCAGUGUAGGAGGGCACCGAAGCGCACACACUCCUCACUCAGCACAGGGGUUGUCUCCAUUUCCGAGCUGCCAAAGUGUCUGCUGUAGAGAAUAAACCUCCAAACUUGUGUCCGCUUAGCUCUGCUCUCUGCCAGGUGCCACUUCUGGCCGAGAGCUUUCUGCGCAGUGAAACAUCUCCCUUUAAAGCUAACAGAUUAGUCCUGCUCACAUGCUUGUUUGUGAGGCUGAAGCAUCUCUGACCUCUUCACUGAUGUAACUGUUUGCUCAGGACACCGCGAUGUUUGUAAAGAGUGAGCUGGACUCUGCCUCGCCGUGACAAAGCCCGAGGGAUUGCAUCCUAGGCUGACAAGUAAGUUGGCUGCAGUCCUUUCCAAGACCAAACAAAGUUUGUUAUGGGAAAGAAUUAGUGAUUCAUCUGCCUUUAGCCGGAGCUGCCCCUGCUUUUCGGCUGGCUGUUACGGAAGCGUUGCAGUGCCUGACAACACCUUUACCCAGACCGCAAGAGGCCACACAGGUGCUGUCACAAAAAGACCUGUGCUCCCUGCUCCACGUCCUGCAGCCCUGCAGAAAAGUCAUCCUGAGAGGGGAUACCUGCUGAGGAACUAGAGCCACAAGGAUUUGUUGCCUACUCUUGCUAAAUGCCCUCGGUGCUCACUGAGGAUGCUGCAUCCAGGCUGCAAGGGGAGAGGGCAGCCCUGCCCCGAGCUUGCUGCGAGAUGAAAUUUGCCUCAUAAGCCAAGUGUUCUCCUGGGGCUCCAGUUGUAUAUGGUGCAGGAUGGCUCUUCUGCUUAAAUCCCCGUGGUCUAUCCCAAAGUCACGUCACAGGGAAAGCAAUCUCCGACAUCAUCUCCACGCACAGCUGCAACCCCUCUCCCUGCCCUCCCUCACUCUGCCUUUCCUGGGAGAGUACCAGCAGCACGCGUUCGGUGCUCUGAACUUCCUUCUGGUGCCUGAUGGAGAGUCUGGGAGAAUGUGAGUUCACUUAUCCCUAUCUGGAGCAGUCUUCAGGCAUGGCCCAAUAAAGCAGCUGCACCCCCUAAAAAAGACAGAUCCUUAGUGUUGCUUCAAAGCAUUCUUCAGGGAAACACCAGCCGGGGAGAAAACUUCUCCAUGAGGUCUCACAACCCCUGUGCAUGCUGUGUGCACGGAGAAGCCACAAAGGGGCUGUGGCUGGAAGGAGGACGAAGCUUUCAGCCCAUGUCUCCCAGGCCACUCCCAGCCAGUGCCCGGUCUCCCUCUCCCAGCACCGCUGUCCUGAGCUGCUGCAUCCUUUUUUAGGAAUCCCGCUCCCUCUAGUGGUCCCUAGCGGGUGAAAUCCGUGCUCGGAGCUGCACCCUCACUUUAAUCUUCCCUGCUGGCAGCUCACGUACUGCUUUCACAGCCUCCUCAUCGCCCUUCCAGCUUGGAGACCCGCCAGCAUCUCUUGCUGGAGCACUUUCUGGUGCUGUGUCCUCACGGCUGAUGCUCAGGACGAGACCCAUCACCAAGGCACCCCCCUGGAAAUUCCUGGUGACAUUUUCAAGGGCUGUCAGCGCUUCUCUGGAGAGUGUGAGAGCUGGGUGUCGUAACCCAGGCCUUUCCACCCUGGCCACGGGUAGUUCAUGAGCAAAGAAACCCACUUGUGGGCUGCUCACCAGCCACAGCUAUUGCAAAACAGGGUCUGGUGGGAUGAUUUGAGAUCCUGCUGAAUUUCUUCCUCCCAGAAUUUCCCUCUGAUUUUGAGGCAGUGUUGCAAUUGCUAUCGGAAAGCCAGAGAGGACAUCUUUCUUCUGGUGAGGAUGACCCAGGACACCAGUGUCCAAGUUGUACCAGCCCAUUGCAUCAGGGUUUUUUUUGCCUCUGACUUCCUCAGGAGCAGGUCGUGGAGGUGAACCUUGCCCAGAGAAGGCCAUUCUGGUCCCUUCUGUGCCUCUCAGCAGAAGACAUUUCCCAUCUUUCCUACAGUCACAAGGGCUGGCACCCACCUCUGCUAAAGCUGACCUGGGGGGCUCCCCUGGUUCCAGGCUGGGGGUGUUGUGGGGCCGUAGCACCCCCAGGAAUGCCCUCUUCUCUGCUCACUGCUGCUCCCAUCCCGUAUCUCCAUCUGCCAGCUCUGCUGGACCAAAUGCAUCCAGCUGCCUCCAGCCUCACACUAGUCCCCUCUCGGUGAUGUGCCCUGCUCUCACCCCGCACACUGCAGCAACUCCUGCAAAUGUCACUCAUGUGGUCCCUGCUGGCCCCACGCAGGACAGCUCCAAGGCAGAGUUCUGUGCUGACCCUGCGGGGCUCCCAGGAGACCUCCUUCCUCCCUGCCCAGUUGCUCAAUUGUUUUUUUCCUUGUAACUAGAUGCAGAGCCGUGACUCACUGCAGCCAUUGCAUCAGGAUGCAGUGCUCCAGCUGGGCUUCAGACAGCACCGGGGGAGAUGCUCUGGGAGGAAUCGGGUUUGUUACGCUCAGAGAACUCUUCAUGCUGCCCAAAGCUCUCAUAAAAAUGUUGGUGUGGUUUCACUUGCUUUUGGUGCACAGUCAUACUGGACAGUAGUAUAAAUUUCCUAUGCAUAUAUAUAAAAAGAAGUGACCGUGUAUCACAGCCACCUCUGGGGUGCAGCAUGGCAUCCAUCCAUGUGGCCAGCUGUCUGACAGGCAAGCGGUGGCCCAGCUGGGGUUUCUUUCUCCUUUGCUGUCUCAGCACAGGCUGCCUCGAAGUGCUGCUGGUGUGAAGCCAGAAGGAAGCUGGGAAUGUGGCUGGAAGCCUCAUGAAACAAAACUGCUCAGAAACAGAAGUUUGAAGUCACCUUGCCUGCUGGUAUUUUAGCUGCUAUUUGUGCUUCACGAAUAGCUUAUGAGCAGCUUGGAUCCAGGAUUCUUCCUUAUUUCACACUGCCGUGAAUGUUAGAAGUAUGCUCUGAACUGGAAGCAUGGUCAAAACCUCCCUGAAACCUCCGGAGUCCAGUGAGGGGGAAGUAAAUUCCCCCAAAUAGUUACAGUCAAACGCACUGAUAUCCCUUAUCUCUCUGCAAGGCAGGAGGUGAGGAUCGAACAGAUUUACAAAGUGGCUUUUGCUGUUUUCCACUACAAAUAGCAGCGCUACUGCUUUCUCUCCUGGGUGAGCAGGAGAUUCACAGCAGGUUCU